CGCCUUGCCAGCCCGCUCAGAAACUUAAAUGAAUUGACGGGGGCCCGCACAAGCGGAGGAACAUGUGGUUUAAUUCGAUGAUACGCGAGGAACCUUACCUGGGCUAGAACGCAAUCGGAAUCAGGCCGAAAGGUCUGCGCCAGCGAUGGCCGGUUGCGAGGUGCUGCAUGGUUGUCGUCAGCUCGUGCCGUGAGGUGUCGGGUUAAGUCCCAUAACGAGCGCAACCCCUACUGCUAGUUGCCAGCGGGUCAUGCCGGGGACUCUAGCGGAACUGCCAGCGUAAGCUGCGAGGAAGGUGGGGAUGACGUCAAAUCAGCACGGCCCUUACGUCCAGGGCUACACACGUGUUACAAUGGCCAGUACAGAGGGCAGCCACCCCGCGAGGGGGCGCUAAUCCUAAAAGCUGGUCCCAGUUCGGAUCGGAGUCUGCAACCCGACUCCGUGAAGCUGGAUUCGCUAGUAAUCGCGCAUCAGCCACGGCGCGGUGAAUACGUUCCGGCCUU
rnacentral:rRNA from 1 species